UUGUACUGCGAAACUGCGAAUGGCUCAUUAAAUCAGUUAUCGUCUAUUUGAUAGUACCUUACUACUUGGAUAACCGUGGUAAUUCUAGAGCUAAUACAUGCUGAAAACCCCGACUUCGGAAGGGAUGUAUUUAUUAGAUUAAAAACCAAUGCCCUCCGGGGCUCACUGGUGAUUCAUGAUAACUUCUCGAAUCGCACGGCCUUGCGCCGGCGAUGGUUCAUUCAAAUUUCUGCCCUAUCAACUUUCGACGGCUGGGUCUUGGCCAGCCGUGGUGACAACGGGUAACGGAGGGUUAGGGCUCGACCCCGGAGAAGGAGCCUGAGAAACGGCUACUACAUCCAAGGAAGGCAGCAGGCGCGCAAAUUACCCAAUCCCGACACGGGGAGGUAGUGACAAUAAAUACUGAUACAGGGCUCUUUUGGGUCUUGUAAUUGGAAUGAGUACAAUUUAAUUCCCUUAACGAGGAACAAUUGGAGGGCAAGUCUGGUGCCAGCAGCCGCGGUAAUUCCAGCUCCAAUAGCGUAUAUUAAAGUUGUUGCAGUUAAAAAGCUCGUAGUUGAACCUUGGGCCUGGCUGGCCGGUCCGCCUCACCGCGUGCACUGGUCCGGCCGGGCCUUUCCCUCUGGGGAGCCGCAUGCCCUUCACUGGGCGUGUCGGGGAACCAGGACGUUUACUUUGAAAAAAUUAGAGUGUUCAAAGCAGGCUUAUGCUCGGAUACAUUAGCAUGGAAUAAUGGAAUAGGACGUGCGGUUCUAUUUUGUUGGUUUCUAGGACCGCCGUAAUGAUUAAUAGGGGACAGUCGGGGGCAUCAGUAUUCAGCUGUCAGAAGUGAAA
rnacentral:rRNA from 1 species